AAAAAAACCAAAAAAAAAAAAGCUUAAACUUUUUCUUUUAUGCUGAGGCAAGGGGGCAUACUGAAAGACUCACUAGUGCUUCGGGGUUUUCUGGAUAUUAAAAUUGAGAUACAUAUAUGACACAGACAUCCUAGAAUAGCACUAAGUUCCACUGGCAGUUGUUGGAACUCAGCCAGCAUAUCUAGAUUUUUUUAGCUGUUAUAAUGAGAAUUAUAAAUAUGCAUAUGUGUAGAUUCUAUGGUGAAAAUGAAAAGUACACACAUCUCAUUUUAUUAAUCAAGUUUGUGUUGCCUGUUUAAUAAUGUCUCUCAAUUUCUUCUAUUGAGCAGAAGUCAGUGGGGAAAUAUCAUCACGAGGCAAGAGGUAAAUUAUUUGCUUAGUGCAACACAAACCUGCUUGUCAGGUAAAAGCAGAGUCCUUCUAUAAUACUGCUACCAUAUGGCACUGCCAUAUCGUGAAGCCCAUAAAAGGGACUGACAUUGUAAAAGAUUAACUGGUUUUACUUGGCAAGGUCAGGUAUCUCGAUGGCAGGCUAUAAAAUGCUAUAAAAUGGUUAAAAGAGGAAAGGGAGUCUGUAGUUGGAGGCUACCUGAAAUUUUGGCAUUGGCUUUCCUUACAGUCCCGCCAUCUAGUUUGGAUUGUCAAGACUAAAAAGGUUCACUAGGCCAAGUGAGGAUGCUCUCUGCAUGCCUGUGGUACUAUAGCACCACUAGGAAAAGAGAGAAUUGGACAUGAGGAAAAGCAUGCAGCCAGCACUAGGACUGCUUCCCCUAGGACUGGAGAUCUCAAUCAUCUUCUCCUACAUGCUGCACAAAAAGAGUUGAAGGAAGGCUAGAUUAUAUAUACAUAUUCAUUCAUUCAUUUAUCCAUCCACUCAUCCAUUAGUUUGUCCAUCUUUCAUUCAUAUGUUCAGUGACUAAAAAUAUUUUAUUUAAUUUUUAUUUUUUUUCAUAGCCUAGGUUCCAAGCAAGAGGCUACUUCUUGUUCAGAAGAGGACACAGAAAGAAAAACAUAAUUGCAGUUCAAUAUAAUUAGUGCUGUAGUAACUGCAACCUGUAUUGAAUUCUUAUUAAAUAUCAGGAACUUUUCUCAGAGCUAUAAAUAAACCCAUACAAUACCAAGAUAUGGAUUUGGCUAUUACUCUUUUUUGGAGGAACAGAGGUUGAAGAGAUGAAGUCCUACAGCUUGGAAGCAGUGAACAACAAAAAUUUAAGCUUAGACAUUUUGACUUGAAGUUUGAAUCCUUAACCACCUAGGAAAUAUAACUAAAACUACAAUAAAAACCACCUGCAAUGACUCUUGAAAGAAAAAUAAUUCUCUAAGUGAGAAUAUGGGUAACCGGUUAGAGCAUCAUGGUGCUGGUGGCGAUUUGUAGGCAGAGAAAGCUGCAUAUUUGAAGACCAUGGAAGGUGUGCUGUCAGGGGAAAUGAAAGUGAUUAAACAGUGUGGGAGGUUUCUGUGGGUGAUCUGGUUUUCUAUUGGUGCAUAACAAAGCACCAGUGCUCCUAAAGAGAUUGCUGGACAGAGGACACAUUUCCUUUUAUGACCUAGCCUCAGAAGUUACAUAGCUUGACUUGUGCCAGACUCAAUUAGUUGAGGCAGUCAAAAGGUCCUUUGCCCAAGUUCAAGUGGAGAAGACAUAGAUUUUAGUUCUUAACAGAGUAUCAAGAUUCUGGAAAGGCAUGUAGGGAUCAGAAAUACUGUGGCAUCAUUUUUUUUUUUGGGAAAUAAAGUAAGAUAAAGGCAGCAUACUGUCAUCAUAAAAAAGAGAUUUGGAGUAUGACAGGCUUUGAUUUCAAUAAUGGGUUCCACCACUUAGUAGCUGAGUUACUUUGGCCAAGUGGCUUAACUGUUUGAAGUCUCAUUUUUUUAAUUUGUAAAAUAAGGAUGCUAGUAGUUAGAAUUGUUAAUGAUUAAAAAAAUACAUGUAAAUCCUUUGGCACUGGAGACUGGGACAAAAUAGUUACUUCAUAAGACAUAGGAUUAUUGGUUUGCUAACAGAAAGAGAGAUAAUUGGAGAGGGAGAUGAGGCCCCGUUGUGGGAGGGGUUUCAUAGCUAAUAGGAAGUUGGUGAAAUCAUAAUAGCAAUAAUAGCCAAAAGUUACUGAAAACUAGGCACAGUGCCAAGCUCUUUCAAAGGAGUAUUUCCCUAAAUCUUCACAACAAACCUAUGAAGAAGGAUUAUUGUUAUCCCACUUUAUAGAUGAGGAAAUCAGGAUCAAAGAGGUUAAAAAACUUUCAUAAGUUGGUAAGUAGCAAAGACAGGAUAUAAAUCAAGGUGAUUGUAUUAGCAGAGCCUAUACUACCAUAGUUUGGAUUUUAACCUGAAGGCUAUACAAAGCUACUAAAAAAAUUUAAACUGGGCAGUCUUAUGGUCAAACUUGCUCUUUAGAAGGCAUUGUGGAAAACAGAUUAGGGGCUGGUAGUGAGGAGAGCAGUUAGGAGAUGAUGGCUCUGAUCUAAAUGAGAAAUAUUGAGACAUCUGAAAUAUUGAACCUAGAUAUAGUGUGGGAGACACAAGUAGAGAAGGAGGGUCUAAGAAAGUAGUGGCACCCAUCCUUGAUUUUUGAUUGGAUGUGGAAAGAAAGAGAGGGAAUUUCCAUCAUCACUAGUUCGCUUUGAGUGCAGGCACUGGCAUGUGCAUUAUUACUCAGGGAUCUAAGUAGAGAAAGAAAACAACCCCCUGGGGUGCCUUCUAACCUAAAGCAUAUUUCCUAAGUCCAUGCACUCUCAGUCUAGACUGAAAACAAACAAAGCAGACUCCUCUUGAAGCUCUCAGAUCUCUCACCUUGCAAUUCUAGCUUUUGAAUUCCACGCCUAGUUUCCUUUCCCACACGCCAAGCCCUUGUCCUGUGGAUUACAAUGAUCAUUUGUGUGUACUAGGUGACUAUUCCUUCCACAUCAGGGGCCUUGGAACGAUGAACUAAGGCUGCUCUCUCCCGUCCUUACUUCCUCUAUCCAGUAUUGUAACAACAUGCAAUCUGUUGGUUCUUAUAAAGGAUGCUGACUGAUGCUGUGAUGUGGUCUUCAGGAAGCCAAGGGAUCUCCAAAUGAGGUACUCUAAUCCAGAUGGUGGAAGCUGUGGCAAUUUACCCACAGGUCCUGCUCCUCCAGAUCACCUGCUGGGUGACUCCUCCAUCCUGCCUUCUGCAGGGUCAACCCUCCCCCAAGGUGCGUUGAUCCCAUAAGUUUGUAUAGUAUAGGUAUACACCAUGUAGACAGAGGCAGGAAUAGCUAUACAGGAUCUUUUUCACUUUAAUUAUUUGGCUGUGUCUUGUUAUGACCUGCUUGUGGGCAAGGACUGAAAGUUAAAUGCUUUGACUCCUUAGGACCUAACAGAGUGCUUCUGGACUUGGUAAUCAAUCAUUUAAUUCUACUGAAUAAAAAAAGAAAUUCUUCAAAUCCUGAACUUUAUACUAAUGUCAUCAAGGCUACAAUGAUAAGCUGGCUCAUUCUAGGCAUGUUUUGGGAUGUGGAACUAAAGGAGUAAUUUAAAAACUUGGAAUAAAUACAAUAAAAUACACAUUAUGGUUACAAUGAUGUAUAUAUGUGUACAUGGGACAAGAACAAAAAAAUUAAAAUAGGUUGUUUUAGUGUAAUAAAGUUACCGAAUAAUCUUUAUAUUUUUUUUUUUGCUUUUUCAAAAAAACAUUUUAAAGGAUAUGCAAAAUGAAUACAAUGUUGGAGGAGGAAGAAAACUUGGAAGAAAAUGAUAGUUUUUUUGGCAGAAUUGGUAUUCCAAACUGGAAGAGGUUCUCUGUAUUUAAUUUCCUCUCCGUAAGUUUACCUUCAGAAGUCCAAGUGUGAGGUCAAGCCUUGGGUUGCCGGAAAUGGUAAUGUCCUUUACUGUCUGAGCACCCAGACAGCACUUAAUGAAACAUCCUACUUUGUGGACAUUGCUGCUGCUACUUCUGAAUUAUGAGGCUUGCCAUGCAUAACUCCUGCAGUGGAUAGUUUAUUUUUGCAAAGUGCAUGGAAUGAAACUUGUGGGGAUGUAGACUGCAGGCACAGAAAGAUCUAAAUGAAUGUGUAAGAAUGACCACAAGGCACCAGGCGUGGGUGUAUUUAUCCGUUUGUCUCAUUACUAAGAGGUUUUAGUUCCAAAAAAUAUCCGGAAGGAUUUAGUUUAGGGGAAGUGGGGAGGGAGAAGGAGUGGAAUAAAGAUCUUUGAAUUUUUAAACAGCUUAUUUGAGCUUCCAAUUGAUAUAUUCUAUUUUCUUCACAUCAGAAUCAGUGUUUCUUCAGGGACAAUUAAAGAAAGAUUUUCAUACCAGUGUACAUAGGCAUGAAAAAGUUGCUUUUGAAAUUUAUUUAGUAUGUAAACAAAAAGGCAGUUUAUUUGAAAGAAAAUUGGAAAUUAGAAAGUUUAAAUAUUAGUUAUUAAAAAAGCAAUUAGGACUUUUUGGGGCCCAGAAAUACAUUUGUCUUGGUAGCAUGUGUUCUGCUCCAUUUUUUUUUUUUCUGGUCUUUUUAGGGCCACACCCACAGCACAUGGAGGUUCCUAGGCUAGGGGUCAAAUCAGAGCUGUAGCUGCU